rnacentral:rRNA from 1 species
UACGGGGGGAGCAAGCGUUGUUCGGAUUUACUGGGCGUAAAGGGCGCGUAGGCGGUCGUGACAAGUCACUUGUGAAAUCUCCGGGCUUAACUCGGAACGGUCAAGUGAUACUGUCGGACUAGAGUACAGAAGGGGCAACUGGAAUUCUCGGUGUAGCGGUGAAAUGCGUAGAUAUCGAGAGGAACACCUGCGGCGAAGGCGGGUUGCUGGGCUGAUACUAGCUGAGGCGCGAAAGCUAGGGGGAGCGAACGGG